UGUCAUUGUUUCUAAAUCAUAAUUUGAAGAACAUAUCAAACCCUGGUCCAUUGAAUGUAGAACACUAGAAAGGCCUUGAAAAAGUUGAGCAUUCAUGUCUGACUGAUCAGUAUCAUCGGAAUUGGUUUCGAUCACAUGAUAAGAAGAUGCAGUCACGACAAAUGAAGCCCCCAUUAUUAGACAUUUUUAAAGAGAAGCUAAGUUUAUCCUCUCAGUAACAGUUACGGUGAUUGGUGAAUAAACUGGCAUAAGCUUCAGGGAAUUAUGGAAUGAGGGAAGAAACA
rnacentral:lncRNA from 1 species